rnacentral:rRNA from 1 species
AGUGAACGCUGGCGGUAGGCCUAACACAUGCAAGUCGAACGGCAGCACAGUAAGAGCUUGCUCUUACGGGUGGCGAGUGGCGGACGGGUGAGGAAUACAUCGGAAUCUACUUUUUCGUGGGGGAUAACGUAGGGAAACUUACGCUAAUACCGCAUACGACCUACGGGUGAAAGCAGGGGAUCUUCGGACCUUGCGCGAUUGAAUGAGCCGAUGUCGGAUUAGCUAGUUGGCGGGGUAAAGGCCCACCAAGGCGACGAUCCGUAGCUGGUCUGAGAGGAUGAUCAGCCACACUGGAACUGAGACACGGUCCAGACUCCUAAGGGAGGCAGCAGUGGGGAAUAUGGGACAAUGGGCGCAAGCCUGAUCCAGCCAUACCGCGUGGGUGAAGAAGGCCUUCGGGUUGUAAAGCCCUUUUGUUGGGAAAGAAAAGCAGCAGGUUAAUACCCCGCUGUUCUGACGGUACCCAAAGAAUAAGCACCGGCUAACUUCGUG